AUGAGAAACCCUAAGAUGAUCUUGCCAUUUAAGCAGUGUUAUCAAAUUGCGGCGCCAUGGCCACUAUUGUGGAUAUACAUGACGGUUUUUGGACUCGCCGCAAUGGUAAAUAUCAGCCGAUAUUGCGGGUUUUCUGCCGUAAUCCGCUAUAACAGUCCAGCCAAGCGGUCGUUAUGGCGGGAUUUUUGCUCCUGUUAUGGACCGCCAUCCGUCACUGACAACAUUGCAUUUGAGAAGCAUGCAGACCUUCAACAUUUUGCAGUCAAGGGAAUUUUUCCUAUACUUUUUCCUAUUUUCUUCUAUUAA